rnacentral:rRNA from 1 species
AACGAACGCUGGCGGCAUGCCUAACACAUGCAAGUCGAACGAGACCUUCGGGUCUAGUGGCGCACGGGUGCGUAACGCGUGGGAACCUGCCCUUAGGUUCGGAAUAACUCCCCGAAAGGGGUGCUAAUACCGGAUAAUGUCUUCGGACCAAAGAUUUAUCGCCUUUGGAUGGGGCCGCGUUGGAUUAGCUAGUUGGUAGGGUAAAAGCCUACCAAGGCGACGAUGCAUAGCUGGUCUGAGAGGAUGAUCAGCCACACUGGGACUGAGACACGGCCCAGACUCCUACGCGAGGCAGCAGUGGGGAAUAUUGGACAAGGGGCGAAAGCCUGAUACAGCAAUGCCGCGUGAGUGAUGAAGGCCUUAGGGUUGUAAAGCUCUUUUACCCGGGAUGAUAAUGACAGUACCGGGAGAAUAAGCACCGGCUAACUCCGUG